rnacentral:rRNA from 1 species
AACGAACGCUGGCGGCAUGCCUAACACAUGCCAGUCGAACGAGACCUUCGGGUCUAGUGGCGCACGGGUGCGUAACGCGUGGGAACCUGCCCUUAGGUUCGGAAUAACUCCCCGAAAGGGGUGCUAAUACCGGAUAAUGUCUUCGGACCAAAGAUUUAUCGCCUUUGGAUGGGCCCGCGUUGGAUUAGCUAGUUGGUAGGGUAAAAGCCUACCAAGGCGACGAUCCAUAGCUGGUCUGAGAGGAUGAUCAGCCACACUGGGACUGAGACACGGCCCAGACUCCUACGGGAGGCAGCAGUGGGGAAUAUUGGACAAUGGGCGAAAGCCUGAUCCAGCAAUGCCGCGUGAGUGAUGAAGGCCUUGGGGUUGUAAAGCUCUUUUACCCGGGAUGAUAAUGACAGUACCGGGAGAAUAAGCUCCGGCUAACUCCGUG